GGAGUAACCAUCAGUAACCAUUAUAUUUUGAUUACAUUUUGCGACUUGAGCAAGCAUCACUCAAGUACAACUCUGUAUACCCAAAAUAAUGCAAAUGUAUAGUCCCUUGGGUUGCGCUUGUGUUAUGCAUUUAUAAUUGGUUGUUAAUCUCAUUUAAUUAAUAAAUCCAAAUUUUUUACCUGCUAUCGUACAGAGUUUUUAAACUAUCUUUGUUUUUAGGAGUAAUGAUGUUCAGAUAAAAUUUGUUAGUAUUCAUUAUUGAACUUUUUCAACUUGUAAAGGUGCUUUAAAUAAGGCCGGUUAGAUCAGCAAUCGGAAGAUCAUAAUUGCUGGAAGAAAAAUUUGAUCAACAUGACUGACGAGGAGGUUGACGAGGAACUAGUUGAAUUGAGGAAAGUUAAGGAAAAACUCAUUGAGAGGACAAUUGACUUAAGGAACGAAUUGGACGCCUGGGAAAAGGCAGGAGGCAAAACUCAUAACAAAACAGAAAAAGAUUUCCUACCCGAAGAAAAUCAAUUUGAAGAUUUGUUUAAUAAACAUGAUCCUGGGAAUCAUCUGAACAAAAAAUGUGUUACUGUAUCCAGCUUUGUGUUGGGUUUCAAAUUCAACGAUGUAGAUAAGAAAUGGAUAUCGGAUCAUAAGUACUUGUACACUGCCAAAGUCAAGUCAAAGGUGUUGGAAUUUUUUAUGGAGAUCACUGUGAAUUCACAGGACUCAGAUAAAAAUCUUGAAAUUUUGGAGGUCGAGUGCCGCUUCGAAACUGUGAAAAAAUGCUAUCUUCUUGAAAUAGCGCCUUGGAUUCAGCGGUUCACUGAAGCUAAAGAUACGUCAAAUUUAUUUGGUGCUGUAUCAGAUUACACCGAACAAAAUAUAGUACGCGCAAAAAUUCUGAACCAAUUAAAAAAUCGUGAUGUUGUCUCUGUGGAAGAAUUUAUAGACGACGAUGGCGGCAUAAUGAUAUUGUUACACUCAAAGAACAACACCGAUUUAAUCUACCUGGAAGUAAGGUGGAUACUGAGAUUCCUUGAAAGUAUGUGGUGUAUUGACAACUUUUUUAUAAUCUCACAGAUCUCUGCUGGGGAUGAUUUUUUAACAACCCACUCCCAACUUCUCAAGAACUUUUGCAAGAAUAAAGUAAAUCAGACUGAACUUGAGGAUCUAUGGAACAAAUUAUGCAAUGUAGUAGAACAAGAUGAAACACCAAGUGAAACAGGCUCGUCAGAAAUACCAAUAUAGUUGUAUUAGUUAUUCUGAUCUUCAACCGUGAAUAAUCUUUGCAAUCGCCCGGUUGGCGACUGAUUAAUUCUUGCAAUAAUUAUUUUCAUAGUCUUUUGUUUCAUUCACAUCUUGAAAACACUUCUCACAUUUUUAAAGACAAGCGAAGAUAUUGGUUAUAAUUUUGCAACUUCACAGUUUAAAAAUGGUUUAAGUUGCCAGAUUCAGUCUGUCAUACACUUUACACGUUGUAAAUUUGUGAGUUUUGAGUUUAUGUGUCAAAAUAUUUGUAACAAUAUUUUAUGGAAUACGAAAUCAAAAUCGUACUUUCCAAUUAACAACCUCGCAUGGAAUCAUGCGAAGGAGUGCAAUCAAAGAUAACGAGGAGACCGAAGCAAACUCAAAAACUCUUUGGGCUUACGCUCCUUGUCGCUUUAAUACCCCAAAUCAGUUGGACACUGAAUCUUCAUCUCUAUUAUCUACAUUCUGCUGUUGCUUUAGUAACGAGGAGAACCGUCAAUCUCAGACUGAUCGUUUUUCCGUAAAUUUUGCUGUAGGAGAUUCCUCCGUUACAUUGUCCCGAGCACUUUUAUGCCUUGACAAUCCACAGAUACCGAACGAUCAAGUCAGUUAUCCAAUUUCCGAGGACGUUAUUCUUGCAGACCAUCGUAGCCAAAACGUGUUGCAACAUCCAUACGUUAUUAGAAGUACACAAAUGCUGUUCAUGGGAUACGACUUGACCUC